rnacentral:rRNA from 1 species
UACGUAGGGUGCGAGCGUUAAUCGGAAUUACUGGGCGUAAAGCGUGCGCAGGCGGUGACGUAAGACAGGUGUGAAAUCCCCGGGCUUAACCUGGGAACUGCAUUUGUGACUGCAUUGCUGGAGUGCGGCAGAGGGGGAUGGAAUUCCGCGUGUAGCAGUGAAAUGCGUAGAUAUGCGGAGGAACAUCGAUGGCGAAGGCAAUCCCCUGGGCCUGCACUGACGCUCAUGCACGAAAGCGUGGGGAGCAAACAGG